rnacentral:rRNA from 1 species
UACGUAGGGUCCGAGCGUUGUCCGGAAUUACUGGGCGUAAAGAGCUCGUAGGUGGUUUGUCGCGUUGUUCGUGAAAACUCACAGCUUAACUGUGGGCGUGCGGGCGAUACGGGCAGACUUGAGUACUGCAGGGGAGACUGGAAUUCCUGGUGUAGCGGUGGAAUGCGCAGAUAUCAGGAGGAACACCAGUGGCGAAGGCGGCUUUUUGGUCUGUAACUGACGCUGAGGCGCGAAAGCGUGGGGAGCAAACAGG